UGUGUACAAGCGACGAUGAUUUCAAACAGCUCUGUUGUAUAGAACAUUUAUUUUUGAAAAAUGAUCACAACUUUCUAACUUCCUUUCAUUUCCUAGAGCAUUUUCAGAUUGUAAGAUGUUAGGUACUUCAUUUAAAAUUCGAUGCAUUUUAUCACAUGUAUAACGUUUUAUUUUUAUGAAAUCAUCUUUCUUUGAUGUUGUCAUCAUUUAACGUUGAUAAUAAAGUAAUCAUAGGCAUGUAAAACUAAAAGUUCAAAAUGGAAAUAUAUUUAAGGUAGCUCCAUACUUAGAUAGAAAAUGUCAGAAAUUAACGCACACAAAUGAAAUUUUAUCUGAAUAAAGGCUGAAGACUGCAUUUCCAGAAAACACAUAUAUUUUUAAUUCCCAAUUUUUAUUGUUUCGAAGAGCGCCCCCUAAUGGUACCUGCAUUUUGCACGGAAAAGUUAUUUUUAAGAAGUUAUAACUCAGGUGAAAAUGGUCAGAAUUCGAAUUUUCUACUCAUACGUAAAGAAAUUUUAUUUUGGAAGUUUCUAAAUAUUAACAAAAAAUCGAUUUUCAGACUAUAUAUAAAUAUUUAAAAAAUCUCGCCGGCUUCGGGCUCAAAAGUACAUGUUAGUUUGCAUAAAAUAUCUCAUCACAUAUUUUAUUUUCCCGACAAUGAAAAGUUUUCAUUCUUUUAUAUCUCAUUCUUUGAUGUGUGUUCUUUAAAUUAACGAAAUAAAAAGGCUAUAUGUUCAUGGUGGAUAUUUCGUAAAAAAAAUAUUUAUAUGAUACACAAAACAAAUCACGACAAAAAAAAAACAACGUCCAUAACGCGAUUGCGGAUUUCUUUCUUCGUCAGCUCGGUUUGAUUAUCUUGUAAUACUAUUAUAAAAUAAAAAGCAUAUCUUUGAAUCAGACUUCUGGUUUAGAAAAUAAAAAGACGAAAAUAUUCGCUUUUAGCUGUAGUAAGUGGAUGUAUUUAUUAUCGCGUUGAUUGAUGGUAUGUUCUUUUUCUUUAGCGCUUACGUGUAAAAUAAUUCCAUGUAUGUUAAAUGUUAUACCGUCCGCUGAGCACACUAAAGUAUUAUCGCGAAUAGUACUUAUACAAUAAUGAUCUAAUUAAAAGUACCGAUAGUUGCUAAAAUAUAUCGUGUCCAAACGGACAUACAUAUCAAGACUGAUGUUUAGAUAUCAAUUAUAUGUAUGGGCAGCAUGCUCGGAACUGUACUAGCAUUGUAAGCAAUUUAACGGUCAUAAAAUCAUAAGACAAUUUUGGGAUCCGAAAAAUGCUCCGUGAAAUAACCUGAAGAUCAUGUUUUCGGUAGAGUUACGAAAUCUCACAAAAGUUAAACCGUAAAGGGAUUCGACUGAUGAACAAAGCAUAUUUUACGAGAUUGCAGUAUGCAUAAAAUAUGAUAUAUUUUUCAAAUGCCGCUAUUUCAGACCUGGAGCUGAUUAUUUCUAUGACGAUUUCAAAGUUUGUUUAUAUCAGGAUAUCCACUGAAUGUGUUUAAUUACUUAACUCGAACAGAGUUUUAGAAAUAUGUGGGAAUUAAGUUUCCUGCAAAUUUGCUAAUAGAUUUCUGAUUGAUAUUAUGUUUUCGAAGAAGUUGGAUUAAAAACAGUGAUAUCUAUAACAUCACAUCAGAAUUAGAAGAUUCUUAAGUUGAAUAGUAAUGAUUUCAAUAAUGAAAAACCUAGUAAUUUUAUAGUUUUCUUUUUUUUUUAUGUUGUUGUUUGUUUUUCAAGCUUGAUAUCUAUUGUUAAAUUCGGUACUUUACAGCAAACGUAGAAUUGACAGAUAAACCGCUUGUGAUUUUUAUAAGUAACAUAUAAAAUCAUGUGUGUUUCAACAAAACAUAUUUGAAUGAUUGCAGCAGAUACAAGCGUUCAAACAAAAUUAACAGCACAUCAGCAAGUGUUAUCUCUUUCUGUGAAUGUUUAGAAAACAUUUUUCAUAAUAACAUCAUUUUUAAGUAAAACUUGGUACAAUCGCCUCGGGUAUUCCGAAUCAGUCUUAAAUGCGGUUCACUCUAAACGUUUUACUGCUGAUGACAACAAAUACUCAUGCAAAAAUUAGAAAAAAAAAUGUUGAUAAUCUUUAAGCAAUAAACAUCUGUGCAGAUUAAACAACCAUAGGUUAUAACGUUGAGCUAUUUUUGAUAAUAAACACAGUAUAAUUGAGUCAAGAUGCUAAUACAUGUAUUUACCAAGAAAAAACGGAGCUAUUUUAUUCAAAAGAUGCUUACAUUAUUGUCACCACAUUCAUUUGAACAUGUCUGGAAUUCAUGUCAAUAGUUAGCCUGGACCAUUUUAUAUGCUAUUAUGUGUUACACUGAACGGCGAUUUGUUUCAAUGUUGAAAUUGUAACAAUAAAUUUAAACAGCGUUCAUUAUGGCCUUACGAUAUUCUUUAACUUUUACUCAUCAUUUUAUGUUAUCUGAACGAAUAUAAAGUUUUUCUUAGCAUUCUGAAGUAUAUUUCAUAAAGCUAGUAUCGCUGGGCAGAUUCUACAAGUAUAACUGACUAAUGGCAACAGUGAUUCGGAAUACACUGAUAUUACUCGAAAUAGCCGAUGUCAUGGAAAUCGGGAAAUCUACAUAUUAUGCCAACGUGGUAUAAGUUGGUUGUGUGAACUGCAAACAGUCCCAGAAAUGUCGGCAACUAAAAUGAUUCUAGCUGAGAAAAUAAUUACCUACACCAAAGAAACUAGAGAGUAUUUUAGAUUUGAUGGUAGUACAACAAACCAACCAGAAACACUACAUAAACAAAGCGACAAUUAGUGUUUUUCAGACUGACUUCAAAUAUUUAACUAAGUACUUUGUGGAAAGCGUAAAUGGCAGUCCAGCAACCGUUGAUGUAGCUAAAACAUCACAGGACAAUUUUAGCGAGAAGUAUUACAAACAACGUAUGAUAUAAAAAUGAAAGUGUAUUUGUGUGUCCAUAUGCAUGCAUGCUUGCAUUCCAGUAUAGUCUAAAGCAAUACAAAACCAGUAUACAACAAUAGCAUAAUGUUCUAUUCCAGUAAAGUCUAAAGCGAUACAAAUCCAGUAUUCAACAAUAACAUAUGUUCUAGUCUAAAAAUUAAAAAGUACAAUAUAUUUCUUUGCAUAUUUUGUUCGAACUACAAGUAGCGAGUUGAAACUAUUAUAAAUAUAAAGAUAGUCUUCAGCUGAAUAUGUUUUUUUCAGAAGCUGGUAAUCUCGUUUCACCAUUUCCUUAAGCAAAAAGUUCAUCUUCCAUUGUCCUUAUUGCCUAUGAAAUAAAAUGACAUUUUUUGUCUAUUCUGUGUUCAAUAUUAACAUGUGGGUGUUAUUUAAGGACAAUACGUUGAUGAAGAUAAUGGUGUUAGCUCUCUGUGGCUAUUCAGAUUCUUUCCGUAAAGUAUUUAAUUUCCUUUCAUUGAUCAACCUUUUAACCCCAUCAAAUGAAAUAUAAAGUGUUAGGGCGUUAGUCGCACCCAUGACGUAACCGAAAAACAUGGUUUGAAAGAACAUUUCAUCAACAGUCCAAACAUAAACACGAAAGAUACUGUAUCUUGUGCAAAAUUUACUUUCUCAAAAGUAUUUUGUAGUUUGUAAAGCAAAACUAUGAUUUAGCAAUGAAAUUUAAUUAUUCAAAAUGCAUUU
rnacentral:lncRNA from 1 species